GCACACCCACACUCCCCAAGCAAAAUUUGAAAAUCUGUCUAUGAUGGUGAUGAUAAUUAACUUAUAAAAGUAUAAACCUUUAUUAUUAAGUCAAUUAAAGAAUCAUUGUCAACUACAAUGCAUUGCAUGCUCGUGUUUGUUUAUACAUAUGGGAUCUGUGCAAUUAAAUAUGAUAAUUAUUUGCAUGAUAUGAUAAGUACUGCGCUGCCUGCUAUUACAGUAUUACUUGAAAGCCUUCAGGGGUAGAUCCAGCAAGGUUUUUCUAGGGGGUGCUGGGUUAGCAGCCAAGUGUUUCUUUAUAAUUUUUUAGGGGGUGGUGGGAGUGAAACGACUCAAACACUAAAGGCGCGAGCUUCCUAGGGAGGGUGUUGAGGGAUAUGCCCCCAGAAAAUUUUGAAAAUUAGAUCCGUAGAAAUGCUAUUUCCUGUGAUAUGGACAUUGAAUUAUGAGCUUCAGUUUGACUUCAAAAAAGGGAAAACCUUGGAAAUU